GGGGCUCUAGCUCAGUGGUAGAGCGUCCGCUUUGCAUUACGUUACAAAAGCUGCGGAAGGUCAGGUGUUCAAUCCGCCUGUGCUCCA
rnacentral:tRNA from 1 species